rnacentral:rRNA from 1 species
UACAGAGGUGGCAAGCGUUGUUCGGAAUUACUGGGCGUAAAGGGCGCGUAGGUGGCCUUCUUAGUCAGACGUGAAAUCCCCAGGCUUAACCUGGGAACUGCGUCUGAUACUGGAAGGCUCGAGUUCGGGAGAGGAAUGUGGAAUUCCAGGUGUAGCGGUGAAAUGCGUAGAUAUCGUCAAGAACACCUAUAGCGAAGGCAGCUUACUAGGCUGUAACUGACGCUGAGGCACGAAAGUGUGGGGAUCAAACAGG